UACGUAGGGUGCGAGUGUUAAUCGGAAUUACUGGGCGUAAAGGGUGCGUAGGUGGUUGUUUAAGUCUGCUGUGAAAGCCCCGGGCUCAACCUGGGAAUGGCAGUGGAUACUGGACAGCUAGAGUGCGGUAGAGGGUAGUGGAAUUCCCGGUGUAGCAGUGAAAUGCGUAGAGAUCGGGAGGAACACCAGUGGCGAAGGCGGUUCUCUGGGCAUUACCUGACGCUGAGGAGCGAAAGCGUGGGGAGCAAACAGG
rnacentral:rRNA from 1 species